GUGCUGGCUACCUCAUAUCACAGCCUGCAUUACAGACUUCUGUACUUAGGCAAGAUGAGUCUGACUUUUGGACUAAGGCAUUUUCCCAGGUUUCAGCUCCUUCCAUCCAGCUUGGUUUCCAACAUUAGCCAUUCAGCUGUAUCUACUUGCACCAGGCUCAGCCACUAGCCCUUCCAGACAGCUGCCACGUGUUUUAUUGGUAAAUAAAUUCUUACAUCUGUCAAGUUAUAAAGUAGAAAACAAUUAAUCCAUUCUUGAUAGCUUCUUUUUACGUCUGUCACUUGAAUAAGACAUGCUAAGAAUUACAUACUUUCUGCAAAAAAUGCCAAAAGAUUUGUGUAUCUCAGCAGGUUCCCUUUAAUUCAUACAAAGUGUGUUAAGUGUUGGGGUGUUGACCAUCAAUCCAUUGUGGCUUAUUAGGUCUGAAGGAAAGAAGUGUAAUGAAAAUCCUUUUUCCUGCCCAGCAUCUUAUCUCUGUGUUAAGAAAGUCUGGUUGGAAUGUUCUCACAUGGUAAAUACAAUUGAUAUAUUCAUAUAUUGCCUACUCGCAUGGGUGGCAUGUAGGGCUGAGGGGAAUCUUCCAGUCUUUCUGGCUGGGAGAAAUAAGGAGUUUUCCCAAGAAAAUCCUGCUGUUCCUUAUGGAGGUCUCCCACCACAAGCUGCAGGAGCAGUUCAGGUGAGUCCUGUCCCCAUCUGUCCCUCUCUCCCCUCUGUUUUGCCCAUUCUCUCUCCAUCCCUGUGUUCUUCCCCCCAUUCACUUACUAGCUCUGAUUGCAGAUACUUUCAGGAAAAUGAACAACACUUUUGGACAACUGUUGCCAUUUUUACUAAGCUCUGUGUCCCCACAGAUGUUCAGGCCAUCCUAGAGCCAAGUUUCAGCUGACAUUUGCUCUGUCAUCUGAACAUCCUAAGCCUCCUCUUUAUCCAUAAACUGGUCUGAUACAGAUAAUGAAAACAAAUUCAUUAUGGCAUUUAUUACUUUGUCUUAUAACUUGCUCUUACUAUGUUCACAGGAGGAAUGAAUUGCAGCAGAGAAGAAAUUCCCCCAAAAAAAGAUUUUUCGUGUUGAAUUUUGCUGUACAUUAUUGCAGUCAGUGAGCUGAGUUGUGCAGGUGAUAUCACACCACUCCCUUGCAGCUCCACAUUGCCCUGAAAGUGAUUUGUCUCCAUUUAGUUUUACUCGGUAGGAAUCAACUUCAGUUAAAUCAAUAUAAUGUGGGGUUACAUUGGUUUGAGAAGGUUGACACAAUGUGCUGUGAUGGUUUAAAUAAUCAUUUUCAAGAUCUUUGGAAGCUGUAGUUAAAAAACAGCACAUAAGCCAGUUUGAGAGCUCCAGAUAAACUGAGUAUUUUUAGUGGUGGAUCAUUGCAGGGGUAGUAAAAUCUAGGCAAAAGUGAAAUCUUGUAGGAUAAAUGUGAAAGUGUUAAAAACAUGAAACAAUUCACUAAGAAUUCAAACCAUGUCUGGCAUUUUGAAACUAAUCUUUACUUAGCUAAUGUGAUCCUGCUUUAAAAAAAAAAAAAUGUAGCUUGUUAAUUUCCUCACUUAUUUUUCUGCUUUUUAUAUCAGAAAAUUUUGAUGAUUGUCUGUUCACAGACAAUCAUACAAACAACCCUGUGACAAUUGGAAUAAUGUUUCCUUGAGGAUUAGGGGAAUUUGUAGAAAGAAUCAUUGCUACAUGUGGGAACAAUCAAGCACUCUUUGGAGGCAUCUUUGUUGCUUAAUUUCUUUGUGCCAGUACCUUGAUUUGUUUCUCAAAUUUAACAAAGAAGAGUAUGAAGCAACAACAAAAAAAAUCUAAAAUUACAAUAUAACCAUAUGGAAAUAUUAAGUUAAAGAAGUCUAAGCACUUAAACCAACUGUUCAGGGUAUUUUCCCCAUAAUGUGCUUACAUAAAUCACAUUCAUUUUUAUGAGAGUUAUUUUUCAAAUUUAUAGACUUUUUCAGAUGGAUCUUCAUCUCCCAAGGUAGCAUAUGCAAAGGCUGAGUGUGUUUCUGCAAGUUAAAGUCUGUGGAAUUCAAAGUUUAACUCUGACACUGGAUUUGUGGAUGUUGUUGCAUAAGCAAGUUAUUAAUGGAGUUUUGGAAAUAGCUUUUACUUUUUAGUGCUCAGUUUUAGAAAGCUGAAUUGUCAUUUCUGAAUACCCAGUAUUCAAAUUACGGAUGUAACAAGCAAUAUUUGUGUGGCAGUUCUAGAACUGAACUGUGCUAAGGCUUCAUCCCUAACAAAAUCUGAAGGGGAGAAAAAACACUGCCACUAUUUGAGCAAACAGUGCACAGAAGUGUUGCUGUUUCACUGAAAUCCCCCAUUUCUGGAAAUAGCUUUUUUGAGGGUGUUGUGAUUUAACCCUGAUAGUCAGCUCAUCCCCUCAUGUGGGAUAGAGGAGAGAAGGGGAAGGGUAAAAGUGAGAAGAUUCGUGGGUUGAGUUAAAAACAGUUUAACAGGUAAAGCAAAAACUGCAUACCCAAGCAAGGGAAUUCAUUCCCCACUUCCUAAGGCAGGCAGGUGUUCAGCAUCCCUGGGAAAGCUGGGAUCCAUCUCCCUACAUUGGUAGACAAACACCAUCACUCUGAAUGUACCUUCUCCCUUCUUCUCCCCCAGCUUUAUACACUGAGUGUGACCCCAAAUGGUCUGCAAUAUCCCUUGGGUCGUGUUAUAGAUACGUAUUAUAGCAUUGGCUUUUCACAAAUAUUACAGUGGAUUUUAUAUGUGUGGUGUUAAAGUAACUUUGCUAUAAAGAUAUAGCUUGUAUUUCUGCUGCUAAUUAAGCUUAGACAUAGUAGUGAAAUAGCUGAUAUAAGUGUGCUUGUGUUAAAAUGCCUGCUUGGAUGGGAUAACAUCCAAUGAACACAGGAUGAGGACACCUGCUACAGACCUGCCAGCCAGGAGCACUCACUGUCUGAAGGCAGUGUGGACCAAGGCCCAAACUGGAAGUGACAAAGAGGAGCCAAAACCACAGCCAAGAAACACACAUGCUCUAAAAAGGCAGACCCGAGGAGGGGCCAUGUAAAAUAGUUCCUGGAAAAUGUAAACUAGUUAUGGAUAUGCAUCAGGGUCUAUGAAUAUGCAACAGGAGGAUGUAAGGAAAAGGUAUUUAAGGGGUAUCCCCAAAGAUGACAGUGUGCUCUUGGAUGAGCGCCAUAACCUUUACUCUAUGGUCCUUGUCUCCUAUUGUCCUUUAUUAAACUUUUUAAAUUUGCACAGGUCAGUUGGAGUCAGCUAUCCCUACUGUGCCCCCUCCCAACUCCUUGUUCCCCUCCAGCCUCCUUGCUGGUGGGGUGGGGAGCAGAAAAGCCCUGGACUCUGUGUAAGCUCUGCUCAGCAAUAAUAAAAACAUUGGCUUUCAGAACAAAUCCAAAACACAGCAGCACCAUAUGAGCUGCUAUAAAGAAAAUUAACACUAUCACAGGAAAAAAAUAUACAUGGGAAUAGCUUACAAUUUAUAAAAAUAAUAUGUCUAGCUUUGAUUAACUAUAUCAACAUUUAUGUACCUAAAUUUUUAUAUAUUAAUACUUAAAUAAAAUGUAAAUGUAAUAUUAAUUGUAUUUUAAUUGAUAUAUACACUAUUUCUCCUUUGCUAGGAACAUAUACUGAAUGUACCCUGAAGGUUCAGAAACCAGAAUGCAACCCAAAACUUUCCAAAAUUUAUUACAAUAUUGAAUGCUAUUUUAACAAUGAUUUGGAGAUUUGGGAAUGAUUCACCUGUUUUGAAUUUUGCUUUAUUGUUAAAAUCAAUGAGGACCUCUUGAGUGCAUUUGGGAGCCAUGUGGGCUAACUAGUAGCACAGCAGGGAGCUGCCAUGGAACAGGCAGGGUUCUGUGCCUGCAGAUCACAGCAUAUUGAAGAUCUAUGGAGAGGCCCCAGAUGCUCAGUUAGAAGUCAAGAAGCAGAAACUGGACAAAGCACAAGGUUCUAAGUACCUCACACAUCUGCAGCCCAAACAGAUUUUGCCUUGGAGCUCUUGAAUUCACCAUUAACCAAGAUUUUAGCAUGAUUCCUUCUGCAGAUGUGGGGUAUUUUGGAGUUACAGCUUGCCUUAUACUUCCAUGUACAGCUCCAGGUUUAUUGUAUCCAAUGAGAGACAGUGUCUGAAAAGUGAAUCUAAAUAUAUUUGUAAACUGAGAGUUCAUCACCACAAGGCCAUUGAAUGAACAGCACAAACAGGGGAGGUGUGCUGCCAGCCAAACCUGCCUUUGGGACACCGGGUGGGUCCUGAUUCAUAUUUCACUCAGUGCUUCAGAUUCUUUGAAUGCUGGUUCUAACACUGUCUCACCCUGGUGAGACUUGGGAACUUUUCAGAAAAAGGAGAACAAAGCUUCACCAGAAGGUCAAAGUGAACACCAGGGAGGUUUUGUCCCACCUUUGAUGCUGACAGUGACCCACACAAGCACUCAGCUCCUUGCAGCUGUGAGAGGGGACCAUUAGCUGCUGUCCCUCAGCAGUGCUGGGGGAUAGAGAUCGCCUCUGGAACAUGCUGCUCCAAGAGGAUUGACUCCUUAGGGAUGGGCUUUGUGAUGUGUGUGAAGCCUUUUCUCUCAGCUGAGAGACAUCAGCUAACAGCUUAACUUCUGAACAAAUUCAAAGCCUAAUGUCUGCCCUCUGAGGCAGCAGCCAGGCCAAUUUCUGGGCCAUUUCUGGGCCUGGAGAGUGUUAGUCCUAACUAGGACAUAAGAGCAGUGGGAUGAGGGGUUUUCCAGGUCAAAUCCAAGCUCCUCCUCUAACAUCUCUUUCUUGAGUGCAGUGGGGUGUUAUCCAUCCCUUGAUAUCUUCACCUGAGACUGGGAGUUUAGGCUGGCUCUGUGCCCUUCUAAAGGGACUCAUGCUCAGGCAGGAGCCGUGUGCUUGACAUGGGAAACGCUGCUAUACCUUAGCAGGCGUUCAGCAGAGAUGACCACAAAGGCUCCUGCUGCCUUACAGCCACUGUUUACCCUCUUUUGGACUACAUAAUACCUGCUAGCAUCUAAGCCUCACUGACUCAGAGAUCCUCUGACCUUAGUUUCUCCAGCAUCACACCCUUGAAAAGCCUUACAGCUCCCUGGAUCUGGGUUUUAACUGAUUUUCUUGCUAGCUGUACUCUAGUUCCUACAUGUUAAAAAAAGAGCAUUUCCAUUUAAUUUCUGACUGUCACAGCUAUGACGUGGGGUGAGUUGAACUGGCCAGUGAACACAAAAACCACACCUACCCAACUCACUGUGCUGGUGAUGUGGACUGGUGAUUGUGCACAUCACACGCAGACAAUGUGGGCAUACAGAGAUAAGGAGAGAUGGGUUGCAUGGUUACAAAGGAAGUUUUUUAUCUUUGAGGUCAAGACUUCUGCUUCCUAUUUAUUUUGGGGAACAGUUUAUUGUCUUUGUUUACCUAAGGAGUCAAAGAGAGCUGUAACUCCCAAACUGCUGGGUUGGAAGUACAUCCUGAAUGGGACAGUUACCUGGAUACAUACCUGCUGUGUGCUAGAGAAAAGAGCAAAUUCCUUUCCCAUUUUAAUGGCAGGUGACAUCUGUACUGCCAAAUGUUCAAUGAGCUUUUCAAAAUAAUCACCUCAGUGUAGCCCAGAUCUCAUUCCCCUUUCCUUUUCCUUUGGCAGCCAUGGAGAGGGAAGGGCUGUUCUGUGCCAGAAGGGCAGCAGAAUUACAGUGCACAGUAACAGCAGCCAGAUUCCUUCAGCUUAAAUGGCAUUAGAAUAAUUCUUUCCUUGCAAGAAAAGCAAAAAAAGGAAAGCUAAGAGGAAAGUCUGUGUGAGGGAGCAUGGCAUGUUAACCAGCUGGGUCUGUUCUGUCCUCUGCAAAGGGAAGUUUCAUGGGAGACAGUUCUCUUCAGAAUGCAGAGGUGUGACGGAGCUGAAAGCUCAGAUGCAUCAGUGCCAGUCCCAGGGGGAUUGUUGUUGCAUGAUAGCUGUGCUGCUGUAGACUGGUUAAAACAAUCUGCAAAUUUAUUCUAAAGUUGUUGCCUUGAUGUUGCUAGAGAACUUGAUAUGUUUAAACCUCUCUUUUUGCAGUCUUUCCACAUUCUCAUGGUUCUCCCAUCUCCAGGAAAGACCUUUGAAACCAAUGCCUUAAAUUUUAGUUUUCAUAUUUUCCAGAUUCUGUACUGCGUUAGUAUAGAGCUCUGAACUUCAUAUAAUGUCUUAGCAAGUCCUCCUCACAGCUUAGUAGAACAAAACAAUCCUUUUCCAGCCCAAGAACCAAGGACACCAUUGCAGCUUCAGUCCCAAAAAGUACAAACAACCGGGAACUGAGGAGAGCAAACUGGGAGGAUGGGACUUCAUCAGAUGAAGCUGUAAUUGGACAAUUAACUCAGUGUGUAAAUGGGCCAAAACGUAUAAAAGUGUGAAAGCUCAUGACUUGGAGUACAUCUUGGGUGUAGCCUUGGCCGGGCUCUUGUACUGCCCAAGGUGUAUCCUUUUAAGGCCUUUUUAAUAAAUACCUACUUUAUUCUUUUAACACUGUCUAGCCUCUAUUCUAGGUAGCCUCUCAAGGCACCAAAACAGCUUGAGACACUCCUUCACCAUAUCCAUGGAUGAGCAUUUUGUCAGCCUCACAGGUCUCAUUGAAGAACUAUCUCUGCAGCUCACAACCCUCUCCUCUCUCUGAGUCAGGUGUUGGAGAACACCUGAAGAGCUUCAGACUCAGUGGGAACUGAAAGAACAUCCAAAGAUAUAAACCUCCGUAGAUAAAGACCUCAAAAAUAUCCAUGGAUCUCAGUUGUGGUUUUUAAAGUUAAGAAAAUGGGAGCUUUAAGAUCCCAAACUUCUUAGGCAAAUAAAUUCCAUUUAUCUCCGAGUCUUCCUUUUUUUUUUUUCCCCUUUUCUUUUUUUUUCACUAAUUUUACCAAAAUUUCUGCAUCUACAGACACUGCAAAAUCUAUGUUCCAGCCUGGUAGGCCGUGUUGUUUUGACACUGAUUAGUGCUCCAAGCAGCAGGUAAGUCAUCAGCCAUGAAGACUGUUCAGUGAGCCCUCUCUCUUUCCUUCCCUGGGCACCACAGAGCUGCAGACAGGGUGCUUGGCUAAUGGCAGGGUACUUGUGCAAACAGCCAGCUGUGAAGUGACACAUUCCUGUCAGCGGAAAACUCUGCACAUGUUCUUUAAUCUCUCAACAGAGCAAACAUUUCUGUGCCACCCUAGCAGGGAAACCAUCUUUGUUAUAGCACAUCUGAGCAACUCAGUUCUUUCCCAGAGUAUGCUACAGCACAACUUUGUGUGCCAUGGGGAGCUGCACCAGGCAGACAAACCUGCUGACUGAGGCACCACUGGACACAGAUUUAUUCCUGAAGAAAAGGUUGAACAAGACAAAAUCCUCAUGGCAGCAUAGAGAUAUCUGAGGCUCCAGGGAACACGAACAAGCUGCAGGGUAAAGCCGGUCACCAUCAACAGCUGAGUGAGUAAUUCACAGCAAACCACAGCUUUGAUUAAGUGCACCCUUUUCCCAGCCACAGAGAAUUUGCUAAAGCUCUUGGAAGUUCCCUACUUGCUUCUACUAAUUACAAAUUGAGCCCUUUAUGCAGAAGACCAGUGAAAGAACUGUGCAUCUGUGAAAUGCCCUGAAGCCCUGGAAGCAGAGGAUGUCACAGCAUUCAAGGUAUUUCAGAGACUUUGAGGACCUUGUCACUGCAUGAAUUCCACCUAAUUUUGAAGUUUUGCCUUUUGCUGUCAAGAGAAUAAAGCAGAACUAUCCUUAUCUCCUGUCUCUAAAAGCAGGAGCCUGGCAAAAGGAAAGCAUCAUGCAGAGUACAUGAGCAACAAGGCUGGGAGACGUGAAUUGUGUCAUUGCUUUCUUCAUAAAGAUUAAAGGUCAUCUGUGCUUGUCCCCUCCAUGCAUGGAGCAGAUUUGGACAUGGAGGCAGGCAAAGGAAGUCCAUAGCUACUGCAGAGCCAAUGCCUCUAUGUCAGUGAUAUCCACAUUCCCUGAUCACCCAGCCUUUCCUACACGUUGGCUUCCAGUCUGGUUCUACUCCAGAGCCAGCACACUUCAGCACUGCAGGAAAAAGCUCACAUGUGCGUAUGGGUUUAGCCUAAGAUAGUCAGGGAGCCCACAUCACCAUAGUAACUGCAUGCUGUUGCAUUAAUUUCAGCAAAUAAAUGAAGCUUGUAAGUCAAGGGGUAUUUAUGCAGAGCAGUGCAGGAGCACACAAAGAAACUGCAACAGUCCUGAAUGAGGCAGCCAGUCUUCUCUGGCUUCUUUAUCUUGCUUUUCAGGAGGACUGAUUGUCUCGUUGGAAGAUUCCACUAAUAUGAUCAGCUUUCUUUCUGUAUUUCAUGUGGUAUUUUCAGACAUGACUUGGGUAUAUCUACACAGCACAAGACUGAACCAUGAAGGACCAACCAGAAGUAUGAAAAAGUUUCUACAGUAAUGUAGAAGCUUUUUUCAAAAACUGAGGUUGCUAGAGAAAAAUUUAGCAGGUUUGAACGUUUCCCUUCUGACUGGUGAUGUCUGUUUAGGAGCUUUUACACACUGAUAAGGAUGAGAGGAAUUGUUCUUUAUGAGGAAAGCAAGAACUUACCUGAGGCGGGCUAGGAUCCUCAUUUUGUUGCCAAAACCAACCCCACCCACUAUUCUUUAAAAAAUGAAACAAAAAAUACUCACCAGGGCAAACACAGAUACAGAGUUCUGGUUCAUCCAAGCUGACUUAAAGACAGCCUGUCUGGGAGGGGAGCAGUCAAGCACUCGGCUUGUUGGCCAUCUGAUUGCCUAAACUCUCUGUGUCUGCAGGGUGUUGACUUCCCCUUUACUCACAUGUUUGCAGAAGUGUUAUAAAAAAGGAGAAUCUGACUAAUCCAGGAACUCUGGAGUCAGAAAGAAGAAAAGCAUUUUUAUUGGGUCUGUCUGAGAUUGAGUUCAUUUUCCUAUGGCAGCCCUCACGGUGCUCUGCUGGGCAUUGAUAGCUGGAAAGGUGUUGAUAACACAGCAGUGUUUGACUCCUGCAGAGCAGAGCUGGCACAGCAUCAGCACUGUCUGCCCAAAAUUCCCCCUCAAGAGGCUUGGAGUGGGCAAGAUCCUGGGAAGGGACACAAGCAAGCCAGUUGGCCCAAAUUGACUACAGGAAUAUUCUAUACUGUGCAAAAUCAGCUCUGAUAUAAAAGCUAAGAAAAGGAGGACAAACAGGGUGCUUUUGUUAUUUACAAUAUUUGCUGUCUGGAAAAAAUGCCACCCGUGCUGAAGUCUGGCUUCCUGGGAAGUGGCUGAACAUUACUUGCUUGUGGGAAGUAGAGAAUACAUUUAUUUAUUUUCUCUUUGCUUCAUUGCAUGUAAACUUUUGAUUUUGCUUUAGUAAAUUGCCUUAUCUCAACCUA